CCUGCGCCCGCUGCCCUCCUGGCGGCGAUUUCUCCGCCGGCUUCGUGCUGCGCCGCCGCUUCCAGAACUGAGCGGCGCCGGCAGAGAAACAGAAAUGGGGGACAAUAUCGUUUACACCGAAUUCCUUCAACAUUCAUUGAAUGUCUACUGUGUGCCAGACGAGGGAACCCUUUGGACAGAAUAAAGUCCAAGUCCUUACAAACGUGGCAUACACAUGGCGAUCCAGGAUCCGCCCAUGCAGCCUCUUCUGCGGCUCCUCACCUUCUUUCCUGUGCUUUAACAGCGCACAUCUGUGGCUUCUGCCCUCUUAGGCUUUGUUCAUUCUGCCUUCUCCACCCUUCCAUCCGCCUUGAAUAUCCUUCCCGGCCACCUAGCCAAGCCAAUCAUACUCAUUCCUUACCACUUAGCUUAGGGGUCACCUCCUCUAAAAACCUUCCUUGACCUACAACCCCGUAAUAUAUGCGUGUUGUUUACUUACCAU